GAAGGUCGUGUCACCCACACUCGCCCUUUACUCUCUUCAAAGGGUAACAAGCCUGCUCAAGAUAAAAAAAUCUCCAAGACCUAUCGCCAUUGACUUUCAGAGGUCCCACAUGUCAGUGGCCCAGCCUCCGCCUGGUCAGUUUAUAAGGAAGUGCAUAUGAUGAUAAGUGCUCCUGCUCCACCAUCACCAUCAUCCCCUGGAAAACACAAGUCUCUUUCCAGCCAUCCAGAGAUGACAAGGAGUCUGGGCCUGAAGACGUCCUAGAAUCUGUGACAACAGGGAGUUCAGGAGAAGCCAGGGUUAGAGCCUUCUCUGAUGUCUUCAUGUCAGCAAACAUUUAUUGAGCUCCUGUGGCUGGUACUGUAUAAUGAACUGGUGAUACAAAGAUGGCUAACAAGGCACUUGAAAGACUGAGGAAGA
rnacentral:lncRNA from 1 species